UGAAAUUCAAAAGGACAUCGUUGGCAAUUUCCUAGCAUUGUGGACACUGUUGUGCAGUUAAUUGAAAUGAAUAAUUGCUGCUACAAGUGAAGUUGACCGACCACCAAAAGGGCAGGAAAGCCGUCUUCUCUGCAAUGGAAAUUGAUUUUUUUUGGAGGCACAACAUGGCUGCGGGCCGGGCCUGUGUGCAAGGAUAACAACACGAUUGUAAUUCCUUGAUAAUUGCAAAGGGCAUGGAGCAACUAAGUGAGAGCAGCACUUUCGAUGCAAGCAUUUCAAUAACGUGGCAUUUCAAUAAUAUCGAUCCACAGUUGGCCUCUGAUGGCGUGGGUGCAGCUCUAUUAUCUUGGUCUGAAAACACGACUGCGGCGUCCCAUUAUCCUUGUACUUGAACGACUGCAGCUAAGUGCACGUAAUGGAAUCCAAAGACUGGGGGUUCAUUUGGCGAAACUGCAUCGUCUGCUGCCUUGAUUGGGUGGUCCUAACGGCGAUUUUAUGGAUC
ensembl:ncRNA lncRNA:CR44056 long non-coding RNA:CR44056